UACCUCAGUAACGGCGAGUGAAGCGGUAACAGCUCAAAUUUGAAAUCUGGGUCUUUCAGGCUCCGAGUUGUAAUUUGUAGAAGAUGCUUUGGGUGCGGUCCCGGUCUAAGUUCCUUGGAACAGGACGUCAUAGAGGGUGAGAAUCCCGUAUGUGAUCGGUGGCUUGCGCCCGUGUAAAGCUCUUUCGACGAGUCGGGUUGUUUGGGAAUGCAGCUCUAAAUGGGUGGUAAAUUUCAUCUAAAGCUAAAUAUUGGCCAGAGACCGAUAGCGCACAAGUAGAGUGAUCGAAAGAUGAAAAGCACUUUGGAAAGAGAGUUAAACAGUACGUGAAAUUGUUGAAAGGGAAGCGCUUGCAACCAGACUUGCGCGGGGUUGAUCAUCCGGGGUUCUCCCCGGUGCACUCGGCCUCGCUCAGGCCAGCAUCGGUUUCGGUGGUUGGAUAAAGGCCUUGGGAAUGUGACUUCUUUCGGGGAGUGUUAUAGCCCUCGGUGCAAUGCAGCCUACCGGGACCGAGGACCGCGCUUCGGCUAGGAUGCUGGCGUAAUGGUUGUAAGCGACCCGUCUUGAAACACGGACCAAGGAGUCUAACAUCUAUGCGAGUGUUUGGGCGUCAAACCCAUACGCGUAAUGAAAGUGAACGGAGGUGAGAACCCUUAAGGGUGCAUCAUCGACCGAUCCUGAUGUCUUCGGAUGGAUUUGAGUAAGAGCAUAGCUGUUGGGACCCGAAAGAUGGUGAACUAUGCCUGAAUAGGGUGAAGCCAGAGGAAACUCUGGUGGAGGCUCGCAGCGGUUCUGACGUGCAAAUCGAUCGUCAAAUUUGGGCAUAGGGGCGAAAGACUA
rnacentral:rRNA from 1 species